GGGGGUAUAGCUCAGUGGUAGAGCCGUGCUUGGCACGCACAAGGUCCUGGGUUCAUUCCCCAGUGCCUCCA
rnacentral:tRNA from 1 species